rnacentral:lncRNA from 1 species
CAAUACGAAGUAAGCUAGAGAACUUAAUCUUAAAGCUAGUGGUGAUCACAACUGCUGCUCUGGUUCUGACGGUGUUGAUGAGUCACGCAGGAAAUCUUCAUUCUCCAGACAGCUACACAGUUCAAGGACACGUCGGAAAUCAUGAAUUUUCACCAACGAAGCUACAAAAUUUGAGUGUAAAGAACAGUGAUCUCUCAAACUCCUGGAAUACUUGUCAAAACAAAAUCGGCGAACUCGAACGACGCCUGGCAAGCAUUUCAAACGCCCUUGAGCGUCUGUGGUGUGCUACCAAGGAUGUCAUGAGCAACGGUGGAUUUUGCAUCA